UCCCGCGUAAUUUAAGCAUAUUAAUAAGCGGAGGAAAAGAAACUAACAAGGAUUCCCUCAGUAGCUGCGAGCGAACCGGGAUGAGCCCAGCACCGAAUCCUGCGCGUCUAAGGGCGCGUUGGGAAAUGUGGUGUGUGGGAGGAUCCGUACAUCUCGCACGGGCGUGCCAGUCCAAGUCCAUCUUGAAAGCGGCCACAGCCCAUAGAGGGUGCCAGGCCCGUAUGACGGCAGCCGGCCCGUGCGAAAGGAUCUCUCAGAGUUCAAGAGUACGUGAAACCGUUCGGGGGUAAACGGGCGAAAUCUGGAAAAUCGAAGGGAGACGUUCAAGCUCCACUCGCCGCGCGUUGUCCGGCGGCCCGCCGAUGGGUGCGCGACGCCCGCGUGUUCCGCAAGGAGCGCGCGGAAUCGUUCGCGUAGUCCACGUGCGUGUUGCCGUCGUGCUCGCCGGCGUCGGGCCGCACUCGUCUCCUUGUAGAACGUCGCGACCCGUUGGGCGUCCGUCAAAGGCCCGCGCGUGGAGCCGGUCGCAGUUCGUCGGCGCGUGCGUCUUCGGGCGCGCGCGUCCGACAACUCGGCCGACCGCUGCGGUGUCCCGGCGGUCUGGCCCGACGGUAUGCAAAAUGUUUUCGAUCCGAAAAGAACGCUCGGCCGCGCGCGCACCCUCGUGGUGCACGCCGGCGAGCGCGGCGCCUCCGCGCGCACGGAUCGUGUCGGCGACGCUCCAACCAGAGCAUCACCCGACCCGUCUUGAAACACGGACCAAGGAGUCUAACAUGUGCGCGAGUCAUUGGGACUUGUCGAAACCUAAAGGCGUAACGAAAGUGAAGCGCGCGCGGCAGCGGCCGGGGAGCGAAAGCUGCCUCGGUUGUGCACCGCGCGCCGAGGGGGGAUGCAGUUGCGUCCACAUUGCAAAAUAUGCGACGUUUCGGCCGCACCCCCGGGGCGUCUCGUUGUCAUUGCGACACAGAAGGCGCACCCAGAGCGUACACGUUGGGACCCGCUGGCACUCGGAGGCGAAGCGUGGCCGAGGUCGUUCGCGACCUGAGCGCGCAUGAGAUCAGUCUCAUCUGGUAAAGCGAAUGAUUAGAGGCCUUGGGGCCGAAACGACCUCAACCUAUUCUCAAACUUUAAAUGGGUGAGAAAUUCGACUUGCUCGAAUCGAUGAAGUGGAAUAAGAUAAAAAUGACUGGAUGAAAGAGUGCCAAGUGGGCCAAUUUUGGUAAGCAGAACUGGCGCUGUGGAUGAACCAAACGUCGAGUUAAGGCGCCUAAAUCGAUGCUCAUGGGAUACCAUGAAAGGCGUUGGUUGCUUAAGACAGCAGGACGNNNNNNNNNNNNNNNNNNNNNNNNNNNNNNNNNNNNNNNNNNNNNNNNNNGGAGUCCGGUUCCUAUUCCGGAACCCGGCCGCGGAACCGACCAUGCGGGCCAAUGUCACCUAGAGUGGCAACUCGUCGGGGUAACCCAAAGGGACCCGGAGACGCCGUCGGAUGAUCGGGGCAGAGUUUUCUGUUCUGUAUGAGCGUUCGAGUUCCCUGGAAUCGCCUAGCGCGGAGAUAGGGUUUGGAACGCGAAGAGCACCGCACUUGCGGCGGUGUCCCGAUCUAUCCCUCGGACCUUGAAAAUCCGGGAGAGGGCCACGUGGAGGUGUCGCGCCGGAUCGUACCCAUUUCCGCAGCAGGUCUCCUAGGUGAGGAGCCUCUAGUCGAUGGAA
rnacentral:rRNA from 1 species